rnacentral:rRNA from 1 species
GGUAACUGCGAGGCGGCGUGCGGGGUAGAAGGUUGUGUGCGGGGUUGGUCCGGUAGUAUUGGGCGGAAAGGGCUGGUAGGCGGUUUGUCGCGGCUGUGGGGAAACUCCGGGGGGCAACCCCGGAGUUGCAGUGUGUACGGGCAGACUAGAGUAUGGUAUGGGAGACGGGAAUGCCUGGUGUAGCGGUGAAAUGCGCAGAUAUCAGGAGGAACACCGAUGGCGAAGGCAGGUCUCUGGGCCACUACUGACGCUGAGAAGCGAAAGCAUGGGGAGCGAACAGGAUUAGAUACCCGAGUAGUC